UACGUAGGGUGCAAGCGUUGUCCGGAAUUAUUGGGCGUAAAGAGCUCGUAGGCGGUCUGUCGCGUCUGCUGUGAAAACUCAGGGCUUAACCCUGAGCUUGCAGUGGGUACGGGCAGACUAGAGUGCGGUAGGGGGAGACUGGAAUUCCUGGUGUAGCGGUGAAAUGCGCAGAUAUCAGGAGGAACACCGGUGGCGAAGGCGGGGUCUCUGGGCCGUAACUGACGCUGGAGGAGCGAAAGCAUGGGGAGCGAACAGG
rnacentral:rRNA from 1 species